rnacentral:lncRNA from 1 species
UUUUUUUUUUUUUUUUUUGAGAUUUGCCGCCCCCUGAUUGGUGGGGGCUCCUCAGAAAACAAAAAUGCUGAAGCUCAACUACUUAGGUAAUCGCAUUCCAAGAGAUCACGUUUCACUUCUGAACCUUGAGUAGCUCGCUCUGUUCUUCGACCUGCAUUUUGUCUGUUAUUUCCCGAAGCCCAAAGAAAUACCUACCUGGUAAGGUCUCAAUGGGGCCAGAAGAGGGGCUCUUAAAGGAAUUUUCUCGGAAAUAACCUAGAUGAGAGAAGGCACAGCAGGAAAAAAACACAUGGCCCAUAAAUUCUACUCUUGGGUCCCAGGGAUUCCUGGGCUGCGCUGAGAUGUGCCCUGUGAACCAGCAGGCACAGUUUCAAUCAAGCUACAAUCUUUGUGGGAGUUUCCUGAAAGGGGGGCAAAAUAGCAAAUUUCUUGCCCUCUUUCUCCCGGACCUAGCAUUAUGCCAAAAGUUUUCCAAAAUACAUCAACUAUUGUGAAGUGUAUUCUUUCUUAAAGGCUGAGGUCAUGCCAUCUUGGCAGGCUUUAGGAUUAUGGAGAAGAGACGAAAGUCCAUUUUUUUCACUCCGUGAACACUGAUUGAGAUUGAACCAAGUACUAAGCACUGGAAAUAGAAAAAAAGUGUAACGUUCUGUUCUCGGGGGCUCUCAGUUCAGGGAAUGGGAAGCACUAGAGCCUGACAAAUGCAGAUAAAACAACCAAGACUGACAAGUCCUCCUGGUUGAUGCACUGGGCUUUUAACAUAGAGUAAAAUAAAAGGUCAAUUGAAGCUAAUAUUUUUUAAACAUGCUUUGAAGCAAAUUGCGUAUCACACCCAUGGCCAAUGAAUGCCAGUAAAUUCAAGGAACUUCUAUUUUCUAGAGCUUCUUUUUCAUUCCUCUGUAUUAAUUGUUUAGAAUUCUGGUUUCCUGGGGCCAUUUUGUCAUUUUAACGUGAUGCAUGGCAAAGCCGUGUUUUCUCCUCUCUAAACUUAGCCCUAAAGAUACAGUGCCUGGCCUGUGAAAUAUAUCCCUGGGGAUGAACUGUAGACUAAUUAUCAGUAGUUUUUGUGAAUACAAAGUUUUGAUCUAGUUUCAAGACUCAACAAAUCUGCCUAAACUAAAUAUGAGGUGUUAAGACUGAGAUAUCCAGAUAGAUGGGGCGAGGCUAUAUGCAUUAAAAAUAGUCAAAAAGAAAUAUGGAUGUAAACUAACACAGUCUUAAGGUGGAUGAAAGAACCCCCUUUUAUUAGCAAGGGUUAAGUAUUAAGGUAACAAUAGUUUGGUGGCAGAUGUAUGAAAUUUCUGGAGCAUGGGGAGAGAGGAUACAUAGUAAACACCGCUGGUAUUAGUUUCGUGAAGACCCAAUGAAUGGCUCUUUUUUUACUGGAGGCAUUUCUCCCAAGUCUUACCUCCUUCUUUUUAUAAUCUUGGUCUCUUUCUUUCUCUGUCGUUAGUCAUCUCCGUAGCAGUCUUGGUUUAAAAAAAAAAUUCAGUAUGAUAGAAAAAGAUCUUGUAAGGUAAAUUGACAUGUUGUUGUUCACGUGUCCCAGCCUCUGGGAAAUGGUCCCAGAUUUCACAAUGCAGUCUCAAAUACCAUCAUUUACUAGAAUGAUCAUAUUAGUGUUUCCUAGCAAUUUCCUCAAGACCGCAUUGGUGGAAUCACAUUAAAAGUAAGAUCACCUAUAAUUACCGUAGAAACGUAGCCUUCUUGAAUGGAGUCCAAGGAAGACCUACAUUUUAUUGAAUUCUUCUCUCCUGCAAGAGCUCCUCCAGGGAGGUUUCAUCAUGUGAAUUAGUGGUGUAGAGCCAAUUACUUGAUUGUUUUGUAAUUGUAUUCUAUUUAUUGGUACUUUGCUUCCUUUCACAAGGAUUUCAAAGUGGCUAUUAAAAUCCAUAUAAUGUAAAAAUAAGUGAGGAGCUUGGGUAAAUAAAGACAGAAAUAGGAGAAGACAAAGCUAGAAGUGUGUUCAGUGCACAAAUGCACAAUCUUGAGAUGUGUUGCUAAAUUUCUCAAUGAAGGGGCAAUUUGAAAAGUAAUAAUAAUGGAAAAUAAUGGAAAUGUUGGUAAUGACAAGAAGAAAUACCCCCACAUGAUAAGAACAGAUCUUUCCCCAUGAGGCCAGAGAAUGGCAUAGAUCACUGAAAGCCACAUAGAAGCUUUAGACUUACUUUGCCAACUACGUGUGCCCGGCACAUAGUAGCCAGGCACGUAAUAAAUAUCGGAUGAUCGGAUGGAUGGAUGAAUAGAUGGAUUAAAGGGAAGUGAAAUAUCAUUUAUUUAACAUUUUUUCAUGGAGUGUGCUAUGCUGUACCUGUGCUAUGGCAUAAGACAUGGGGGAAAUGGGAUAUAUAAGAUAUACAAAUAAAAACCAUAGUGAAGGGACGUAAGAGAUGAGGUAGUUACCAUGUCCAAUGGGACUUCCAGUAUGGAAAAGACUUCCUUCUGUUGGGGAAAAUGAUAGAGAAUGCAGUCCUUGUGUUGAGUCCUGUGGAACGUGCAGAACUUUGCCAGGUAGGAAUGGAGAGAAGGCUUGCCAAGUGGAGAAUCCUCACGCGUCAGGUGGAGACGGCUGACAGCUGUCCCUGACUAAUACUGUGUACUAUGCCUCCUUCCAGGGAAGGCAAGAAACUAGUUUGACAGGAGCUUAUGAUGUAUUCAUGAUUGAUAUAUGGAACAGUAAGAUAUAAAGCUGGGAAGGUGGCGAGGGUGUAUUCGCAGGUGGACUUGAGCGGCGAACUAAGCUGGCUGGCUCUGCCUGGGUGGGGAGACACUGGGGCAUCGAUGAGGGUAUGAAUUAGGGAGGGUUGGGCUUUCAGAAGCUGGGGCAGUGGACUCAUCCAUCUGUGUAAGGAGCUAACAGAUCUCAUACACAUUUCAAAUUGAUUUAAUAUGUUAAAGGGAAAAAAUACCCAAAUUUAAGCAAUGUAUGAUUGGUUCUUCUUUUUGAAUCCUGGCUGACUUCAUCAUUAACCUAGGAGAAGGAUGGUCAUUUAACACGUAGACAGACACCAAGUUCUUCACAGCCCCUUUAAAGUUUUCAACAGUAAGCUUGACCAACCAAAACUUACAGUUUUUUUUCUAACUAAUCUAGAAAGCAAAAUCUCAAUUCCAGAUUUUACUCAGCUUGAGCUCAGGGCCACAUUGAACCGGUGAAAGGAAUCAGACGAUAGAAUUAAGUUAAGAACCCGAUUCUACUUCUUAGUAACAAACUGACAGCUAAUCAGUUGUCUACAUAAUGGUCGUGAUGAGCCUGUCAGAUAAAUAGGGGGGAAAGUCGUUGAAUUUAACAGUGCAUUUGUGUAGAUAUAAACCCAGCAAUUACUGGGACACAAAACACGAGCUCCUUGCAAGCAAUGUUUUUCCCCUAUUCUCCUGAAAAGUAUUGAUAAACAUGACCUCCUGUACAUCGCACUUGUAGGAAGUCUACAAGGGGCUACCUUUUCUCUAUAUAAUAAAUAGAAGCUACAGGACUUUCAGAAUCGGCCUACAAGACUAAAAGAAAUGGCUGUCCCCUCUCCCCCAGCUUUUACCGCUGGUGACAUGUCCGUGGAAGCCCGUGGAGGGUCAGCCACAGGUUCACCUAAUUUUGUAUCUCGGAGUGAAGAGGUCAGAAGUCAGGGAGGGAGUGUGUCCAAAGCCAGGGCUGGGAGCAACUCACUGAAUCCAGGUAGAGUUAAUGGCCCCCUCUUGGUUGCAAGCGUUCAGGUUAGGGAACAAUCCAGAGACAGCCUUAAUUUCUUAUGUUGGCAGGGAGAGGGGGCGAAGGGAACACACUCUCCAGAGUUUGCCACUAAGGCUGCAAGACAGCUCUCUGUUCUUACGUCAUUUGCGACAAGACUAGUCAAAGAAGGUGUUUCUAACCAAAAUUUUCAUGGAGCCUGGGUUUCUUCUGCAUGCUUGUAUCUCCCUGACACUGAGGACCCAUUUGUCCACAGGGGCCCUUUGAAGUCCCUGAGAGAGAGAGAGAGAGGCACCAGCUGAUAACCACUGACGGCCUGGCCACGCAAGAGCCAAUAUGCGUAAUGAGACAGCGGGCAAACCCCGAAACAGCCUCCCAACCCACAGGCCCCACAGCAAGCAGGGGGCCGGGUGUUGUUCAUCAAAGAGUGGACUUUGUGUUUCUCAAUUGGAGUGGUGAUGGGUAGCAGAAAGGCCCUUUCAUGUACAUAACUGUUAGUCCUGUGUCCGAUUUUUUCUCUAAGACCUCAGAGGAGAAGCGAUUGUAAUUUCUUUUCCUCUCUGGGAGCUACCACUUUCUAAAAUGUUUUCCUCUCCUUGCUCGGCUUGACUGAUCCGUGCAUCACUCUGAAAACACCUAAGCAGUUGCUCUUGUCAAAAUUCUCUCUCUAAGAAGAUGUUGUGUUGUUUUGUUUUGUUUUGUUUUUCUUUUAGGACUUAAAGCCCAAAAGGGAUUAGUGGAAGUUCUGAAGCCCAUCAAAGGUGAACAUUUACUCUGCAGUAUCAACUAAAAUAGUGUUAGAAACCACUAAACAGUGUUCUACAUGCAUGGACUUCUGACCUUCAUAGAGAACUUUCACAAGGUCAGCUUUGGGCUUGAAGUCUUCUGAAAGCAGGGGGCUGUAACAGCUUACCCUAGGAGAGCAUUUAGUACAUUUUGGCAAAACAAGGAGAGAAAAUGGCUUUGUAUGAGAAUCAGGAAAAAUCCAGAGGCAACCUGGAUGUUUUUUCAUUAGGGAUUCCCCUCUGAGCUUUUUUCUUUUUUUUUUUCUAUGAUGCUUUCUUAACAUUGACAUCGGUGACAUUGGCUACAGAGAAUUGGGGGUCAGGUGAGCAUCCCGGGAAGGGGCAGACUUUGAAGGAUUGUGUUCACUUGGGUAGUGAGCUGAGGAGAGUGCUCCCUGCCCGUCUCCCUGUGACUGGUAUUGGCAGUUGUCAGUCCACUGGUCUCACUUGUGCUCCCGAAAUGUGAGAAUCUACAGCAGAAAUCAUCAAUUCCCCCAAAGCAAAGACGUGCUACGUUAAUGCUAUGAUAGCGCACAAAUACCUCAACUGUCCGGACUGAUAGAGGGGCUGCGGGUUUCAAGAGAGCAGGUGUUGUCCUCAUCCAAUGUAGUUACACCAUCUAACAACAGGACUCGACUUUCUAGCUUUUCUCACUGUGGAAAAGAAACGUUACUGUUUAAUCCGUAUCCAAAGUUAUAAAUACAGCUUGUAAAUUUUACGAACUUGUUUCAUUUUUGUUUGGUCCUUGAGAAGUACGACUUGCUUUUUGCAGAUGGUAAUUUAUCGUGUCUUUCUCUGCUAUUUUUUCCUUUGGUAUGAAACUGCUGUGUUUGUUAAAAGUUUGUUCGUUUUGUGGUUCUUAAUUCCCAUUGGUGCACUGUACAAUGGGGUGUUGUAGUGUAUCAUCGAGAAAGAAAUAAUAUGUAGAUAUGUUCUGGAGUGUGUUUUAUUUUCAAACAACUGUGGUGUUGACGAUAUAUUGAUUUCUCGAGAUAUUAAGGGAAAAUUCUAAAUUUACCAAAAUGUGUAUAUUUUAAUAAAUGCAUAA